CUUAGCAACUAUUUCUGAGAGUCUAGGUGGCCUCUCUGGUGGCAUUGCUCACACUUUCAUCCCUGAGUAGGCUGGGCUCAAGAAUCAUUUUUCUUCUCUUUUGUUCUCUGGCAUCUUAAUCUGUUUUCUACAGCUAAAACAAAAUACCCAAGACUGGAUACCUCACAAUGAAAAGAUGUUUGCUUAGUUUAUACCUUUGGAGGGUACAAGGUCAGGAUCGAGUGGCCUCCUCUCUUUGGCACCUCAGAGCCUGGCAGAGAGGGACAUGGCAAAGCUGUUGCUAUAGCUGUUGUUCUUGCUGUUGCUGUUGAGAUAGUCUUGAUGUACAAUCCAGAGGCAAUGACACAGAGGCUAACAGCUAUCCGGCCAUGUAGUGGGCAGUACAGGAGAAGCCUGCAGCCUACGAACAGUGGGCACACAGAUGAGAAGGAAUUAAGCUCCAAGAAGGACAGCAGAGGGAUCUAGUGGACACAGCAGUUCCUGGAGGAACACAUGGAAAAUGGGAGGAGUACACCAAACCUUCGGAUCUCUGCCAGAUAACUCUUGGCUUUGAAAUGGGAACACACCCAAGGCAAAGAUGGUUCUCGCUGAUAUCUCACUGCAGUAUGAGGCUUCACAACCGGCAAUUGCAUAGACUGAGGACAUGGAAGCUCCAAGAUACUACAGAUCUCCGGAUGACCCUUCUGAAUGAGAUAGGAAAUGGCUUCUUUAGUUGAGCGGAACAGCCACAGAAUUUGGGGUCUCUCACUGGCCUGGAGUUUCCCAAGUAGGUCAGCCUAUCUGGCUAGCAAGUCCCAGGGCCUGACAGUCUUCCCACCACAGUACUGCCAUUACAGGUGUGCCCUGCCACAUACUUCUCUAGAAGCAUCUUGGAUGAGAUUGAUUUUGAAAGCACCCCUCAAAGGCUUGAAAGUACUCAGACAGCCGUUCAGUUGUGUGCUGCCCAGGUUAUAACUCAAGUUUCCCAGUAAAUGACACGCAGAAGAAGUAAUAGGAGAUGACGCCCCACCCUUCCUGUCUCUCCGAUACCCUGCAGCAUCUGUUAGUCAUCUUUGUCAUAGAUGCUAAUAAAUUCAAAUUAAGGACA